GUGGAUACUGCAACAUCGUAAGAGCUGCUCAGCAGUGAAAAAGAUACAAAGGACCCUUUUAUUAAUAGAAAUACACAUCUCCCACACUAUAUACAGAAAGGAACACUUUCCAAACUUAGAAAAACACUCGUCCCCUUGUAUUUCUCAUAGUGCUUUUACCUUGAUCACUUCUUUUUACAAGACCCUUUGUGCCUUCUCCUAUAUCAAGUUCACAGGAUUACCAAAAUUUUGGUGCUCCUCACUUGAUAAAACAUUAAAGGUUUACAAAUGAUACAUGCAAACAAUAAUUCAGGAUCAUCGAACUGAAUGAAUCAAUCUUGACUAACUUCUUUUGGAGCAGAGGUGGUCAACUCUGGGCUACUAAGAGCUGCUUCGAUAUCUUUGGCUUCAGCAGAAUCUGCAUAUUUAAGGAAUUGAUCAAUAUCUGUGCUGCCAGCUCGCCUAUGAUGAUACCAUCUUCGAUGUGUUUUAGGCCUUCUCUCGCUAAUUGCAAUAGAGAUGUCAUUUGGAAAGAGGUCUCUCAGAACAAAGGCAUGAAUGAUGGUUGUCACAAGCAGUGCUGUUACUGUGAGUGUAGAAAGAGUGCAAAGUAUGACAACCAGGAUUUUGGUCACAACGGUGUUAACCACAUUUGAGUAUCUGAUUGUGGCAAUAGCAGCUCCGGUCAUUGGAAAAGUGUAGGCCCACCAAGCCAAUGAAAACCUACAAUUACAUAUUGGACAAGUUUUAAGAACAACUCCAACGAUCAUGAGGUAUAAGAUAUACGGACACAUAGGUAACAUUAGCAUACCUGAAUCCUCGGAAGAAAUUAAUGCGAACAGCCUGUCAAGGAAUAAGAAAAAACAAAGAAAGAAAUAGAUAAGCAUGCUACCAAAACAUCAAAGGUUGAAGCAAUUUGAAAAUGUUGAAAGACACUUGACUAUCUUGUUUGACUUACCAGUGAGAAAUAAAGGAACAAGGCAAUGAAAUAUGCAAUCCGAGCUCCAAAAUCAAAGGACCCUUGGAUAUUUGCCCAUGCCAUAGAAGCAACACUUGGAGCAGCAACAAAUAGAAAGAACACGGGAUGAAGAUCCUUUGGCAAUGUCUCAUUUGUUGGAAGUCUUUGGUACAGAGUUACAAACAGAACAGUGUAAUGAGCCAAUCCAACAGCAAAAAAGAAAAUUGCCCCUUCUUUUAGUCCCAUGGUUGCACCAAGCAAGGAACCAACAAAGUUUCCCACCACUGAGAGAUGAUUUGAUGGAUUGGCCACUUUCGAGAGCCUUCUUUGACCUCCGGACAUCCAUUGCCCGUAGAUCUUGAGCUCUAAGCAUAAGAAUGGCGUCAUAAGGACAUACCACAAAGCUUCGGGAAGGUUUUGAUAAACUGAGGGUG
rnacentral:lncRNA from 1 species